ACAAGUACGGGCUGGAGGAGGUGCUUGGCCUUGGAGGUGAUUCCAGGUCCUGGUGCUCGUGGUGUGGUAUUGCAAGUGGUGAAGAUUGCCAGGGAAGCUGCUGUGUACUUGAGAGAAGGAGCGACCAGAAGGAAGGAGGAAUUGCUGUAUUGACUGAAUGAAGAGGUGGCUGGUUUUUCUAUGUGUUGACUAUUGAGAUUUCAGAAGAGGGGACCGUUGCAGGUUGGUCUGAAACUCUGAGGAGAGAGUUGUGGCAGAGGAUAAAAUUGCUGCUAGUGAAGAUGUCAAGGUCAGUGAACACAUUUGAUAAAAUUUGUUUCUGGUGUGGACAGUCAGGACAUGUGAGGGCAUGUUGUCCUGAACUGAUCAGAGAAGGUUAUGGACACAGUCAGAAUUGGUAUAACAGAGAACGUGGUUAUGGUUUCGGUAUGCGGGAUUGUGUUGCAAAGUCUUGGCAGAGAAGUGGGGAUUGGCUGUGUCCAGAGACAAGCUGUGGGAAUGUAAAUUUUGCAUUCCGUGGUGCUUGUAAUCGUUGCGGAACUGUACGUCCUUCUAGUGCCAUAGGAUUAUCUGCUGGUAGAGGGUCUCAAAAGGUCACUGUCCGGAUGACUGUUGAUGAUUUGAAAAAAUGGUACCAGUUAAAAAAUUGGUACCAGGUCAAAGGUACAGAACAUGGUGAUAAGAAAAUGUGUGAAGUUGAUGCUGUCUGUGCUAAGCAUUGUAGUAAUAUCUCAACUCCUGUUUGGUCUGAUCGCAAAGGUGCACCAUGGCUGAUUGAUUCAGGUGCAUCUAGACAUAUGGCUGGUUCCUAUGGAGAAUUUCAUGAUUAUAUUCCUGAGAUAGGUAACCAAACUUGUCACUUUCAUCAGGUGCACCAUGGCUGAUUGAUUCCUAUGGAGAAUUUCAUGAUUAUAUUCCUGAGAUAGGUGCACCAUGGCUGAUUGAUUCAGGUGCAUCUAGACAUAUGGCUGGUUCCUAUGGAGAAUUUCAUGAUUAUAUUCCUGAUUAAAUUAGCUGAUGGUUCAGCUCAAGCCAUCACGGGUUCAGGAAAAGUUAUAUGAACUUGGGACUGGAAAAAAACUUGGGAUGGGAAGCUUACCCGAUGGCUUAUAUUACCUGGACAAGGAGGUGUCACCCUUUGUUGCAGCUAUGUUAUCUUCUUCACAAUUAGAAGAGUUUCUACUACAACAUCGCAGGUUGGGUCAUAUGUCAUUCCCUAUUUUGAGUCAGCUCUAUCCUGAUCUUUAUAAUAAAGUUAAGAAGGAGAAAUUAGUAUGUGAUGCAUGUCAAUUUGGAAAGCAAACUAGAAGCUCUUAUGUGCCAUCUAAUAAUCGAAGUACAACGCCACUUGAAGUUAUUUAUUCUGAUGUAUGGAGUUUCAUCCCUAAAUGGUUAUCGUUCAUUUGUUACCUUCAUUGACUGUUGCACUAGAGUCACUUGGGGUUAUGUGUUGAGAAACAAGGAUGAUGUGUUCGAAUGUUUUGUCGACUUUCAUAAUAUGAUCAAAACACAAUAUAAUGCUUGCAUGAAAAUAUUUCGUACUGACAAUGGCACGGAGUAUGUCAACAAGGAAUUUGAUAAGUACUUGUCCAGUUUUGGGAUUAUUCAUCAAACAACUUGUCCAGGUACUUCUGAACAAAAUGGCUUGGCUGAAAGGAAGAACAGACAUCUUUUGGAGGUUACCCGGUGUUUAAUGAUGGCUAUGAAUGUUCCAAAAAUUUUGUGGAGUGAGGCUGUGAUGAUAGCAGCUUACCUUACCUGAUAAAUAGAAUGCCAUAUAGAGUGCUUGGGUAUAAAGCCCCAAUAGAAUGUUUAACUGGUGAGAUUUCUUAUGUGGUUCCACCCAAGGUAUUCGGGUGUGUGGGCUUUGUGAAAUAUUAUAGCCCUUCUGUGAGCAAGCUUGAUUCAAGAGCUCUAAAGUGUGUGUUUGUGGGAUAUUCAGGAAAACAGAAGGGAUAUAAAUGUUGGUGCCCAUCAGAGACGAAUGUUUGUAAGCAUGGAUGUAGUGUUCAGAGAAUAUCAACCAUUUUAUGGAGAACCGGUGGAUUUAUCUGAUGUUUUUCCUAAUCUAUAUGUUAAUGAUAUUCCAGGUAUGGACAGCAAGACAGGGGGAGACAAAGAAGGAAAUAGUGAAACAACAUCUAGAAAGGUGAUUGUUGGAGUAAUUCCAACCGGAGAUGAGCCUGAUGGUAGAGAUGAACAUACAUCAAAUGCUGAACAAGAUCAAGAUCACACUCAGGGGGAGCAGCAAGAGCAUCCAACCGGAGAUGAGCCUGAUGGUAGAGAUGAAGAUACAUCAAAUGAUGAACGAGACACUCAGGGGGAGCAGGAAGAGUAUCAAACUGAAAGAUCAAGGUGGCCACAAAACCUUAAGGUGUACUCACGGAGACAGAGAGCUGAGGAUGAUCAAGUGCAAGGGGAGGAAGAAAUCUCUUUGAGUCAGAAUCCUGACGCUCAAAUACAGCCAGAUUUACAUGACUCAAGUUCAAGUCCCUCUACAAGUGAUGGAAGCGAAGAGGUGCCCCACAUGGAGAGAUGCCAUGCUAGAAGAAAUGGCAGCACUUGACAAGAAUAACACAUGGGUGAUGAUGAUGAAGAGAUAUCGAGGUUAAAGAAGGCAUUGACAUGUUCAUUUGAAGUCAAAGACCUGGGAUACCUUCACUACUUUCUUGGGAUUGGGGUUGUUUACGGUGCACAAGGUCUGACAUGAAUGGAGGACUGUUAGUUCUCCAUGAUCGAAAACAGUGUAGCAAUAUCUUAUUUGUAAUAUUCGUAAGUUAAUUAAUGUUCAGUUUUUCAUUUUAUCAUUUACUGUUUGCACCAUGUUUUUAUAUAUGAUGAUGGCCACACACUACAAAACAGCAGUAGCGUACCUGAAUCUUUGUUGGAGUUAGAAGGCAAACUGUCAAAAGUAUCUUCUGCUAUUCACAAUUCUGUUCACCAUAGAUCUAUGAAUUUCUGAAUCGUCUUGUUAAUUGUUUGGCAUCAGAUGUUUUUCCUAAAGAUCUAACACCCAAAAAUCUCCUUCCAGAGCAGUAGUGAUGCCCUCUUCUAUCAUCUCCUGUGAACCAUUGAAAGACACUACUUAAAGUCUUAUGUUUCGAGAUAUUGUAAGAACCUAUAGCAUAUGACAACAAAAUCAUGAGUUUAUCCUAUUCCUAAGUCAUCUAAUUCCUGCAAUCCGAGGGAGACCUUAUAUAUUUUGAAAAAACCUUAUAUGAAGAUGGUUAUGACGCAAUCAAUUAAAUUAUUAAAAAAUAUCCAUAAAUAACAGAAAUCAUGUGGAUUACUGUAUAUAUGGAUUAAAAAGCCAUGUAAAUCUACCUGUCGACGGAACACAGACCUGCAAAAUGGAUGUGUUUUGUAUCUCUUGGGUUGUGUUCCUAUAUCUUACCGAGCUGAGCUGCUGAACAUGUAAAAGAUAGCCUCAAUGGCAAUGAGGUUGGCAUAGACAUAAAAUAAGUUUCCUGUGUUGUAGGCUCUUUCCUUGCAGCAAGCCACAAAAAUCUUGUGAUGAUCCAAGAUAUCACUAUAAAUGUUAGGCGCCGGAGGGAGGGUGGGAUCAAUAUGUUACAACGGCAAUAUUUAUCAUUUAAGCUUAAUAUCAGUGACAAUGUUCCUACAACUGCAAUGCUAAGCGUAUAUGUUUAUUAUUAGUGAAGUGUUUGAUUUUCGUAAGCUAUUCUUCUUCAUACAUUUAUCUCAUGAACAAAUUUGAAUAUGGUCAGUUGGUAUUUAGGAAUUCCUUGAAUUGGUUAAUAAUGAUCAUUCCAACAUAUAUAAACUAAAACAUAAAGUUAAACUGGUUGAAUAACCACGGUAAGAAAGAGACAAAAGACAAUUCUUAUUUUGUGCAAAAAAGAUCCAAGCUCUGUCUAAACCACUAUGUUGCUGGAAACUCUACUCGAAAAUGGUAUAAAAGGCUUCAAGUUUUUAUGUAUCUCCACAAUGGGUAUUUAAUCAAAUUUAUUAAUAAGUUUCCUUUUUAUUGGCUUUCUUUCUGUGUUAUUGGAAUAGUAUCUCACUAUAUGAGCGGAACAUGGAAUUCAUUAGUUUUUGUAUGAUAAAUAGAGCUGAUGUAGAUGCCUUUACAUUUCUUUUUCUUUGUAUGUAAGGAUGGAGGCAUAUAUGGUCUUUAUACCGUAAUGGUUCCCAUCUGUCUUCUGAACCCCCUUUUCAAUGUGUGCAGCACUGCAGCCAUCCCUUGCAGAUUUGAGACUAGAUUAUUAAACUGAUAUUUACUCUAUAUAUGUGGUGAUGUACAUGAUAUAAGUCUAUAUCAUAUAUUCAAUCAAUUUCCUCUGACUCUUACCAUUUGAAAUUAUCAACAAACAGAAGGAAACUCAGGGUAUAAUUGGAUAAUUUUGGGAUCUAUGGUCUGUGGUAAUGGAGCUCGAUUUUAGCGAGUUAAGUAUGACAUAAUAUAUUUCCCUCGGCUAUGCAUGGCUGCUUUGGGUAAGCAAUGUCCAAAACUGAAGCCCAGCUAUGCAUGUAUGAUAAAAUCAAUCCAUUGUACAAUCUAAUUGAACUAUACCUCCAUUACAAAUGUUGUGAUGUACCUACAAGUCUGAUUUUUCUAUUGGAUGGAUUCAGUCAGCUGUCACUUGAUGAUAUGGGAGCUAUAUUAGCAUGGUUAUCUUGCAUAACUUCCAAUUCAGCUUACACUGCUUGAUCUUUUUUUAGGAGAUUGAUCUUUUCUUUAGGAGAUUGAUCUUUUUUAUAUUCCUUCAGCGACUGGAUAAUUAAGAGACAAGUAGGAGAGGAACUAGAAUUGACAACUUAAAUAGAUGGAUGGCUGGCAUGCAUCACUCUUUUCCUUUUUUGGAUGUUGUAGCAAUCAGUUUGCUGCUGAUAUCUUUUGACAUAUUUUGAAAACUAUCAGACAACCAUGGCAGGUUUUGGGGUCGUGGUGACAUCUCCUUUCGCAGUGAAAAAUGUUUUGAUCAGGUAGAUUAAGUAUGUAUUUUCCUGGCAGAUCCAUACAUUAAUAUCAUUCAUUCUAUAGCAUCGUUGGAUCGAGAAUGACAUAUAAAGGAUUGUUGGUGUAAUAUUUCCUCUUGGGGUGAUUGCCAAAAUUCAAGCAUGUGAUUUAGAACUUUAAGUAAGUAAUGCCGAGAAUUAUGUGAUUUAGAACAAUAAUCCAUGUAUCUCUGUUGUUUCCAAGUUUGAAACCAAUUUUCCAUUCAAAGAUUAGCAGACUUGGUUCUAUGCAUAAUUCAUUGCUUCAUGUCAGGCCCUCUAUAACAGAGUUAUGUAUCCAGGUUUGCUUUGCUUAUCCUGUUUGUAAAUAGUCUUUUCAGAUUUGGCUACCUGCCGGUACUUACCUGAUCUUGACUACCAUUAUACCCAUAAUGAUAAACCCUUUUGUGGUUUGAAUUUUCUUAUAGACCAUGAUUUUAUUUCAUCUACCAUCUUGCUAGCUUGAAGAACAAACAUGCCUAAACCUACUGCCCUAUUAUGAAUGUUUUAAAAAGCCAUGUGUUCUAUAGAACGAUUAAAUAUUUUGCUGAUAUGAUGAGACGUGAAAACAGUUGCUAGCAUAAAACCACCACAUUCGCUGCUAAAUCUUCGUUUUGGACCACUUUGUAUUUCGGGAGCAAAAUUCGUCGGUUUCCCAAAAAACAUUAAACCGUCUCUGAGCACGAAUUGGCAUGAUUUCUGCCAAUCCUGGCCCCAUUGUCAGAGCUGGUGUGUCACCAACUAGACGCCUUCAGACACAGUCUUUAAUGGUCCGUGGGUCCCACCCACUUUUUGGCCGUUUAAUCGUGCGCGUCCGUUGACGCCGGGGUCAGUCGCGACCUUUCUCCCCCACUCACUCGUCUGUGCCGAGGCUGCUCCGCUGUGGUUCCAUCGUCGCCGUCUCCGCCGAUCGUUCGCACCGCCAUGCCAAGCUGGAAGGACGGCGAGAGCUCGACGGAGCA